GUCAGUGUCGAGGCGAGUUGGCUUCUGGAUUUGUCCCGCGAUGAUGCCGCUCGGGCGGGAGUAGCCCGGCUCUUGAGGACGUUUUGCGGCUCUUGAGGACGUUUCGCCCUCACUCUCUCACCCUCUCACCCACCCUCCCUUGCUCACUCCCUUGCUCACUUACUGGGUGGAGUAGUGUCUUCUUCUCUGGCUGCAGGAUCAGAGGCAGCUAGAGCAACUUGGCAGGCAUGAAGCAAGGGGCCCGCUGGCACUGGAGCAGAGGUUGUUCAACCACCAGGCCAACUAGGCAGUUGCCUGUGGCGCCAUCUUGUUGGGGGCGCCAUCGAGGCAACUCCUGUCUCCUGCGGCCUGCCUCCGCAAGGAUGAAUCAUUUUACAUUAUGUGUUCCUGUAGGAUGAAUACAGCUUGAAAAAUAUGCAGCAG